rnacentral:rRNA from 1 species
CGAAAGCCUGACGGAGCAACGCCGCGUGUGGGAGGACGGCCUUCGGGUUGUAAACCACUUUUCUCAGGGAAGAAGGACUGACGGUACCUGAGGAAUAAGCCUCGGCUAACUCCGUGCCAGCAGCCGCGGUAAGACGGAGGAGGCAAGCGUUAUCCGGAAUUAUUGGGCGUAAAGCGUCCGCAGGUGGCGAUUCAAGUCUGCUGUCAAAGCACGGGGCUUAACUCCGUUAAGGCAGUGGAAACUGAAUGGCUAGAGUGCCGUAGGGGUAGAGGGAAUUCCCGGUGUAGCGGUGAAAUGCGUAGAGAUCGGGAAGAACAUCGGUGGCGAAAGCGCUCUACUGGACCACACCUGACACUCAGAGGACGAAAGCUAGGGGAGCG